UGGUUUUCACGCCAACUUAAUGUCUGAUUUGCUGGACUGACUUAUAUGUUUGACUCAAAUGUUAAUAACGUUUAUUUCAAAGUCUUAACAACUUGAAACGCUUUUCUAUGCCAACAAAUACGAGUUAGAGUUUUUACAGUGUACAAUGAACAGUAGCA